AGUGGAGCCACAAGAAGGGACAGCCCAGAGAGAGGGAGAGGAAACCACUGACUUCUGCAAAUAAGUCAGUAAGUGAGCAAAAAGAAAGAAGAAUGGUGAAGUCCUUGCAGCCCGUUGCAGGCAUGAAGAGUACCACCUCUACAUCCCAAAAUUGUUGAAAAACAUCCAGUACCAAACAACUAAGUGAGGAGCUUCAUAAGAAGAAUGUUUUUUUUCUGCAGAAAAUGACCCGAUGCUUUCUCAGUACAACUGUGACCAGUUUGCAGGUCUCCUCUCCUGUUGUAUCUGUGCCUGGUUGCAGGAAGGAAGAGAAGCUUUCUGCUGAUGGUGAUCCAAGGGAUAUUUGCAGCCCCAUUUAAAGCACUGUGUGGGCAUUUGGAUAGUUUGCAGAUCUUGCAAAAGGGAGACCAGGAAUGUGGUUCCAGGAAUAAUCUUCUUUUAUUCCAUCAGAUACAUUCUGCAGCCCAUUCCAUAAAGAUGACAAUAAUAAAAAAGCA